GAUGAACGCUGGCGGCGUGCUUAACACAUGCAAGUCGAACGAUGAAGCCCAGCUUGCUGGGUGGAUUAGUGGCGAACGGGUGAGUAACACGUGAGUAACCUGCCCUUCACUCUGGGAUAAGCCUGGGAAACUGGGUCUAAUACCGGAUACGACCAUUGCCCGCAUGGGGUGGUGGUGGAAAGCUUUUGUGGUUUUGGAUGGACUCGCGGCCUAUCUGCUUGUUGGUGAGGUAAUGGCUCACCAAGGCGACGACGGGUAGCCGGCCUGAGAGGGUGACCGGCCACACUGGGACUGAGAAACGGCCCAGACUCCUACGGGAGGCAGCAGUGGGGAAUAUUGCACAAUGGGCGAAAGCCUGAUGCAGCGACGCCGCGUGAGGAAUGACGGCCUUCGGGUUGUAAACCUCUUUCAGUAGGGAAGAAGCGAGAGUGACGGUACCUGCAGAAGAAGCGCCGGCUAACUACGUG
rnacentral:rRNA from 1 species